GGGCUUGGCGGGCGGGGCGUGGGCGCGCUCCCGGGUCCAGCCCCGGUGCUGGUGCAGGCCGGGGCUGCCCCGACCGGGGUCUCUCCCGGAAGUCGGGGCGCGCCGUGCUGCAGCGGGGGUGGCAAGACCCUGGGGUCUGCCCUCAGCGCUGGGGCGCCUCUGCAACCUGAGCCUGUUCUCUGGGGGCCCUGCUGCUCCCACCUGCGCGCGCACCUGGCGUGGUGUUCCAGGUGUGCAGGUGGUACCGAGGUUUCACCUCUGGAGGAUCCUGUCUGGAAGGUGUCCCUCCCUGAAUUGCUGAGGACUUCACCUUUUCAGCCUCCUGUUUAACUGUUUCAGAGGUGGCAAGAUGGGUGCUUACUCAGUCUCCCUUAACACCUGGAGGAAGGCAAGGUUAGCCUUCCCAUCCUAGGCUGAGUUACCUAUUCUUCAGCUCACUGACCACAGAAAUGAAGGAAUCCAGACUUCAGGGCUGGCACGGAGGAUCUGAGAACAAGUCUCCAAGGCCACAUGUGAAUGAUGUCCUGAAGGGCACACCUGGAGCUUACUUUUCCCAUCCCCUCUUUAAUAGCCCACCAUUUCCUGGCAGUGAGCGUCACAACAUCUGGGACAGGAGACCCCUCUGUGUUCUUCUUUGUUCUUUCAUUUGAAAACAAAGCAAAACAAAAAAAUAAAUAAAAACAAUUUUAAAAAAUUAAAA